CCGGAGGACUAAGAAAGUGGAGCCGGUGCCUCGUGCCGACCCCGCUGAUACCAUCCUCCAAAAUGAAAUGGUGGAAGAACAAGGUCUGCCCGCGAGGAAAGGGCAGGGCCUGCUUCCUCCGCCUACACGG
rfam:Colinus virginianus strain Texas jcf7180006226548, whole genome shotgun sequence.